GCAACGUCUGAGGUCUUUGCCUUGCCCAAGCCAUAGGGUUGUGUUUAUGACACUCUCGUGCAAUGUAAACAAAUGAGGAGUUGAUCGUGUACAGUACUUAAAGACAAUUUUUUACAGCAUUAUUAUGGUGCAGGUAAUUGCCAACCGCCCUAGAGAUUGCUUAGCCUGCCGUAUUGUAAGUGGCUGUGGACUACUUGGAAUUUCACUGUAUGUGACGUAUCAAGCAAGGGCAAUGAAGAAAAACAAAUCUAGCAUGUUUUUUGUUGCCAGUGUGGCUGCAGUGCUGGGUACAGCAAGACUUUUUAAUUUACCGCCCUUCAACAAAUCAUCACCAGAAUAGAUGUGCAGUCUUCAUGGGACACUUGAAAACUGCACAAGUCUCAUUUAUCACUCAUAAAAAGAAGUGUUUCUGAGACAAUGUGAAGAACAACAAACAUGCGGAACUAUGCUGUAACAUUUAUUUUAUCUAAUAUCAAAGAAUAAACACAAUGUAAACAAAAGAAUUUAAUUACAUUAUUUUCCAACUUUUCCAA